rnacentral:rRNA from 1 species
CAGUCGUACCCACGGGAAAUCAACCUUUUAAGCGUGAUCCCGCGGGCGUGAGGGAGCCUAAUCAGCCUCCGCGUUUUCGGGUUUGCGUUCUUUGGGCGUACUUUCUCGUGUGGUAGGUCAGCAUCAAUUUCGAACGUUAUAAAAGGAUCGGAGGAAUGUAGCUUCGAUUCGUCGAAGUGUUAUAGCCUUUGGUAGAUGUAACGAUCGGGAUUGAGGAUUGCAACGAAUACCCUUCGGGCUAUCCGUCUGGCCUCUGAUUGUUACUUUGGUGCCGAAAGCAUGCUUACGGUUAUUGAGGUUAAUGGUCAAAAGGUUAGAACGGAUUAAA